UACGAAGGGGGCUAGCGUUGCUCGGAAUCACUGGGCGUAAAGCGCACGUAGGCGGACUCUUAAGUCAGUGGUGAAAUCCUGGAGCUCAACUCCAGAACUGCCUUUGAUACUGGGAGUCUUGAGUUCGGGAGAGGUGAGUGGAACUGCGAGUGUAGAGGUGAAAUUCGUAGAUAUUCGCAAGAACACCAGUGGCGAAGGCGGCUCACUGGCCCGAUACUGACGCUGAGGUGCGAAAGCGUGGGGAGCGAACAGG
rnacentral:rRNA from 1 species